GCCAGUGACGCACGGAGAGUGAGAUGAUGGGCCAUGAAGACAGGACGCGGUCCGUUUCACUUGGAGUGCGGUGUGUCCACUCCUGCAGCCGAGGGGCGGUCCCGACCUUCAACGUGACCCACACAGUCUUUGGAGCAGAGGCAGCCAUGGUGUGGAAAUGAGAACGUGUGAACCACACGGCUCAACUUAGAAGACAGCAGCACACACAUCCGCCCUAACUCACCCAGAGAAAUUCGAGCCACAGACCAGAAAGCUCUGCACAGGACUUCAUUCGAAACUGGCUUAACAGACAGCAGAAGUGCUCCUGCCCUGUGACAACCAACAAUGGCCCUGAGGGCAGUGUGUCAGGAUCACUCAGCGGAGAGUCACUGCUGUCAAGGGGAACAAGG